UUUUGGAGGCGAGGCAAAGUCAUGUUGUUAUUGCUGCCCGACAGUUAAAAAAUGUAUGAAAAUCGUUUUUAAAUCACGCAUAGGUACCCAAAUAAUUGUAAAUAUUCUGCGCUUAAAGUCUCUGAAUCGUGAAGAAGCUGCCUAACCGAGUGGUGUUGUAUAUACAAAUUACCAAAAACUGUAAAUCGAAAAACUGUACACAAGAAACCAAAAUGAUAAACUCUGUAACAUAGAAUCUGGUAAAAGGGGAAAUCUAAAAAUAUUGUAAAAUAGACAGCUGCCAUUUUAUGAGUAUGCUUGUAAAGCACACCCAUUUUAUAAAGUAAAAUUAAAAUUAAGCACAAAGAAAACCUUCAAGUGUGUAGGCAAUUAUGUUUGCAAUUCGUUUUCCCACUUUGUUGUAGUUGAACACAAAAAAGCAUUGACAAAUCAGACAGCGAAUGAGAUUAGAAAAGCGCAAAAACUUAUUUCAAAAUAACUAUUCUCUUCAUAGAUGUAUGUAUUUUGUAAGGAUUUUGUCAAAACGUGCGCGUUGUGCAUUUAUACAAAACUAUCUGGAUGUGGCUUUAAAUUAAAAUGAAUUUCACUGCAAACACUUAUAUUCACCACUAGGAUUAAAACUUUAAUUACGACGACAUGUUCUUUGUGUGUGUGUGUAAAUGUAAUUAAUAAUUAGCCGCUAAGUGUAAUUUUUUAGAGAAACAAAGCAAGGCUGUGUGUUCUGAUUAGAUGUUAAGCGAAUUCAAACCCCCAAAAAUCCCCUAAAAAUGUUAAAUCAGUUGGGAAAAUAAUUGUAAUUAAACUUUUGGUGAGUGGCGAAUAAUUGGUGAUGCGAUAUUAAGUCAAGAAAAUAGCGAGAACGUAAUACUAGUGAUAAAAAGCAGUAAGUUAAGUGAGGGAAUUAUAUAUGUAUACAUUUAAUAUACCCCAAACAGACACUCAAACUCACUCACCCACAACACAUCCAAAGCAUCUAAAACCAGAAUAAGUAAAUCAAUAAAAGGUGUCAUGAUUUUUAUA